UACGUAGGGUGCGAGCGUUGUCCGGAAUUAUUGGGCGUAAAGGGCUCGUAGGCGGUUUGUCGCGUCGGGAGUGAAAUCCACUGGCUUAACUGGUGGCUUGCUUUCGAUACGGGCAGACUGGAGGUAUGCAGGGGGAGAACGGAAUUCCUGGUGUAGCAGUGAAAUGCGUAGAGAUCAAGAGGAACACUCGUGGCGAAAGCGAGCUACUGGACAAUUCCUGACGCUGAGGCUCGAAGGCUAGGGUAGCGAAAGGG
rnacentral:rRNA from 1 species